rnacentral:rRNA from 1 species
UCCUCCCUCUUUCUUCGUGCUUAACACAUGCAAGUCGAACGGAAAGGCCCUGCUUUUGUGGGGUGCUCGAGUGGCGAACGGGUGAGUAACACGUGAGUAACCUGCCCUUGACUUUGGGAUAACUUCAGGAAACUGGGGCUAAUACCGGAUAGGAGCUCCUGCUGCAUGGUGGGGGGUGGAAAGUUUCGGCGGUUGGGGAUGGACUCGCGGCUUAUCAGCUUGUUGGUGGGGUAGUGGCUUACCAAGGCUUUGACGGGUAGCCGGCCUGAGAGGGUGACCGGCCACAUUGGGACUGAGAUACGGCCCAGACUCCUACGGGAGGCAGCAGUGGGGAAUAUUGCACAAUGGGCGGAAGCCUGAUGCAGCAACGCCGCGUGCGGGAUGACGGCCUUCGGGUUGUAAACCGCUUUCGCCUGUGACGACGCGUGAGUGACGGUAAUGGGUAAAGAAGCACCGGCUAACUACGUG